CCCUGCUUUGAUGCUGUCCCUAAAGCAGUGGGAAAGAGCUUCAGGUCUCUGAGCUUGACCAGUGUUUCAGCUCUCCCUUGGAGUCCCGGGAAACGUAUCUCUUGGGAUCAGGAGCUGGGAUGGAACCCAGGGCUCCUGAGAUGGGACAAAGCUAUGCUCUGUGCACCUGUCUUGCCUCCUCACUUUGUACAAUGAGUGUGCCUUCAGCCAAAAGCAGAACUGGAAACAUCCUAAGUGGGCCGGUAACGAGGCUAGCUCUGUCGACUAGUUCAAGACCCCUGAGCGCUUUGGGCCUGAGGUUCCUCAGCUUCCAAGUGAAAGGCUUCGACUUGGCAUUCUAAGAGACAAUCUCUGUGACCAUCAGUUUCCUCAUCUGUAAAACUGGCAUCAUGAUAACUUUGAAGGUAAUUGUGAAGAUUAAAGGGAGUCAUGCAUGUAAA
rnacentral:lncRNA from 10 species